UACGUAGGGGGCUAGCGUUGUCCGGAAUCAUUGGGCGUAAAGCGCGCGUAGGCGGCCAGAUAAGUCCGGUGUGAAAGCCACAGGCUCAACCUGUGAAUGCCGCUGGAAACUGUCUGGCUAGAGUCCGGGAGGGGCGAGUGGAAUUCCUGGUGUAGCGGUGAAAUGCGCAGAUAUCAGGAGGAACACCAAUUGCGAAGGCAGCUCGCUGGGACGUGACUGACGCUGAGACGCGAAAGCGUGGGGAGCAAACAGG
rnacentral:rRNA from 1 species